AAAUGGCAGAGUGGUCUAAUGCGGUAGUCUUGAAAAUUAUUGAGGGUCACACCUCCGGGGGUUCGAAUCCCUCUUU
rnacentral:tRNA from 1 species